AUAGUAUUUCCUCCGUUUCAAAAUUCUUGUCUUAUGUUUGUUUGAAAAUGGAUGUAUCUAAAUACUANNACGUGACUAGAUACAUUCAUAUUUAAACAAAUCUAAAACACAAUUUUUGAGACCGAGGGAGUAGUAC
rfam:Hordeum vulgare subsp. vulgare, WGS project CAJW01000000 data, contig: morex_contig_251434